CAGCUUGGCAGCUGAGCUAUGGGACAAGUUACAAAACACAGCAGACUACCAGCUAUGGGUUGUUAACAAGAGCGUGUUACGCGUUAUACUACACUAUGCUGCAGCGAGGCUUUCAGUUUUACACAGCUCUGGACACAAGUACUUAGUAAAACAAAGAGGGGUGUGUGAUUAUGUCCUCUCUGGUUCCAUAGGCAGUUUUAGGAUUUGCCAACAGGGGGUGCAACUUGCCAGAGAAGUAAGUCUUUUCUUUUGGUUUGUUUUUUGCAAGGCCAAACCUGGAAGACUCAUGUUUACCGAUUUACAAUAGGAUGUGAUGUUUUAGUUUGUAAUAUUUUAAGGAGGUUAUAUAAUUAAGGUUAACUGUAAUAAAGUGUUUGCACUUUGACUUCUUGAAUAAGUCAAACAUUGUUUCAAAAUGGUGACAUUGCACUAUAUGUUCCAUGAAGAAUUAUUAUUAUUUUGCACACAAUAAAUUCUUCAAUGAUACAUUAACUGCGUUUCCAUUACCCAUAGAUUUGCGCAAAACCUAAAUAUAGCAAUAGAAAACUGGUAAUGGAAACACCUAAAUUUCAGAAAAACCUCUCAAAUAUCGCUAAAAGGUUUUUACGCUCUCAUGAGGUGGUUUUUCAGACGUGUCGAUAUAUAAGUAUAUUGCAAAAGUGUAAUGGAAACACUAUUCUUGCAAUUCUCUGUCACCGGACGUGACGUAGCGGGUCAAGUGACCAGUUCAUUUCAAGCGAAAUGUGUGUAUGGACGGGGGAGGAGACGGAGUUAUUUCUGAGGUUUUGAAUUGUAUUUGUAUUUUUCUGAAGUUUUGAAUCCACAAUUCGUCCAUGAAUUCCUCAUUAACAAUCCUCCCCCAGAAAUCCCUCAUCCGUGUCCGCUCCCAUACAUACGGGUUUGAAUACGGAAGUGAGCAGAAUGACCGAACAUGGAGCUAAACGCAGAGCUGAGGGCAGCAAAACAGUUGUCAGCUGUGACUUUGGGUCAUCCUCAGAAGAUGUUAUAGUUGAGGAGUUAUUCAACGUCUCUCCAAAGUGACGUCGAGCAAUUAAGCCGAUAAACUGGCAACAUAACAAAUCUUUUCUCCUCGAGUGAUUAUGCGGGAAGCAUGAAAAUGCGAGCGGAGUCUGUACAGCCUGUCACUGCUGACGGUACGAGUAGCAUUAGCAGUUUAGACACAACUAGCGGUGCAGCCACCAGACCAAAGCAGCAAUCAGUCAUAUCCAUACCUGCCAACACUCCCAUUUUCCCCGGGACUCUCCCCUAUUUCAGACGUAGGCCUGUCACGAUAACAAAUUUUGCUGGACGAUAAUUGUGCUACAAAUUAUCGCCGAUAAACGAUAUUAUUGACACCGUUUUUUAAAUUAUACAUAAUGAUAUUAUAUGGCAUAAUAAUGCGAGUACACCUUGUCAAAAGUGAUAAACUUUAAUUUCCACUGUCUGUCAGCGCGCACCAUUUUGCGCUGUUUUGUUUAUAUUUGCUUUGCUUACCAAACGCUUCAGUAAGCGGUACCUGUCGGGACGAUGGCUCCGCAGCACCUCCGGUGGUACUUUUUUUGCUCAGUUGAGAAAAAUGGAGGGGAUGAUUGUGCUUGAGGUGCACAUGCAUGUUCGUCGUAUUCCCCUUCUUUGUCACCACAACUUUGGAACAAAUACGACAUAUCGGCUCGUCUGUAUAUGUGGGGUCACCUCUUUCAUUUGGUUUAAAGCAGUGUUGUUUUCGUCAUAUUUCGUCAAAUAUUUUCGUCAACGCCAGCGUCAAAAAAGGUAAAUAAUUUCAUCAACGAGAACAACACUGGUUGUUUUCGUUGACUAAAAUAUUUCCCUUUCUUCCACGACGAAGACGCAACGUUGACGAGCUAAACAUAAGUCGGAGAUGACUAAAAUGUGACGAGACGAAAGUGCGUUUACGUUGAUGGGACGAGACGAAAAUGACAAACAGACUUGCAAAACUCAGUCAGUUAAACGCUCAACAUACAGGAGCAGCUUCAGUCCGCUCUGACAGCUCUCAUCAGCCUGCUGUGCUCCUCCAACACACAGACACACACGCGCGCACACACACACACACACACACACACACACGAGUUUUGUGGUUGACGAAAACAAAACUGGUUUAAAGCCGAAAUAUUCCCACACUUGGGCUGUUGCGUUCGGUUUAGACACCAAAGCUGUCGUGUUCAUUCUGUUUGCUUGCUUUUCACUCACGACGCUCACUUGCAGCACUGUAUCCAAAAGUCUGUGUCUGUGUGCCUGACUGUGCGCGCCAGCCCCCUCGUGACAAAGACACUGAAUGACUGACAGGAGGGUUCACUAACUCCGUUCAUUCCGCUAUAGAGCCAACGCCCCCAGGUGCCGAGAACAAUGCACAGAGUGAGACCUCUUCUCUCAUCCAGCGUGUUUGGUAGCGAGAGAGGAGGAAAACAAACGCACGUCAAUUAUCGAGGCUGGCAAAAUGACCGACCUCGUUUUUAUUUACCGAGCGAUAAGGCGAUUUAUUGAUUAUCGCGACAGGCCUAUUCAGACGUAUCUCCCGCCCACUCCCGGUAUUAUCAUUUCUCCCGGGAAUUUCUCGUAGCAUGGUCCGCAUUCAUUCAUGAAUCAGAUCACUAUAUUUGCUCAAAGUUUCCAGACAACCGGAGAUUGUCCUUUGUUUCUGCUGAGCCUUACAGACAGUGGAUUGACACUUUUACUUUACAGUUUGGGACGAUUCAGGUCGGUUUCAGCUGUAAACUACAGGGCUCUCAAGUCUCACGCAUUCAGCGUGUGACACACGCAUUCCCACCUGUUCACACGCUCACACUCCACACAUCGUAUUUCUCACGCAUUUAAAUGAACAUGGUGAUGUCCACCACGUUGCCCCUCUUUAACAAUGGAACAGGUAGAAAUCAACUGAGUUUCUCCGAGAGUUCAGAAGCUGCGUGCCAGGCGCAAGCCAAUCAAAUAAAGUAUAUCUACUGAACAGCCAAUCAAAAAGCAGCAUGUCUGUAUCCGGGUAGAAAUAGAGCAGGUUUUUAAAAGGACGAGAUAGACCCGAUGAUUACAGUAAGUCAGUAACCUACACAUGCAGAGACCUCAACACCUCAUGGCAUAUAAACUCAUAUAAUAAACUAAAACCCUAUGCUAUUGCUAUUGACAGCUGUAUUGAUGAAUUUAGCCUCUGUACAGCCAUUUCCAGCCAUUUUCCCCUCCACAAAAGCAGCAUUUCUCAUAUAUUUUUUUUAAAGUUCUGAUACUCAUGACAGUGUAACGCUCAUGUACCAAAGGAUUAAGUAUCUCCAUGUUUGUGAAACCUAUACUAAAGUACAAUUCAUCUAAAUGCUCCACAGUGCUGAUUUUAACAACUCUCCUCCACACCACAGGUAACUUUACGACUUAAUUCUUAUAAAUUAAUGACUUUUAUUCUCCUAAAUAAUAACUUUGUUGUCUAAAAUUUUAAUUUUUUUUUUCUUAAUGUGGCCCUCACACUCUGUUGUAUUUAAGAGAUUAUUAUACUAAUAAUUAUCAUCAAUCACUCUACACCCCCCCAAAGAAAUCUCACUCUAAGCUUAGUUCAAAACUUGAGAGCCCUGAAACUAUAUUAAAGAAGUGUUUAUUGGAAAAUGAACACUUCAAUGAAAAGAAACAAACGCGAGCUAUGCGAGAGUGAUGCGUUCAGGGCAGCCUCGGAUAAAAGAGUGCUGUAUUUCAUGCACAGAUGUUAAGAGAGCCUCAUACGGGAGAGCAUGUAGAACAUGUAGCACUGUUGAGUUAAAAUGUUUUUUAGAUUUUUCUAAGUGUAUCUUAUUCAGUUUGCUUUGUUAUUUACUUUAUAUGUUAAUAAAAUGUUGAACUAAUCUCUAGUUUUUUUAGUUUUUAGUACAGAUACUUUAAAACUGGCGCUUUAAAAAAAAAUCGUGAUAUUAAUCGAGAUCGGACGAUAUGACAAAAUAAGUCGUGAUCAUGUUUUUUGCCAAAUCGCCCAGGCCUAAUCCAGACUCUAAACAUCUGAAUCCACCCUAUUAUCAGACUUUGGCUCACCACCCCUAUCGGAGUUUCGACCGAAAUGACCUGUUUGCAGUGUGUCAAGUGGACCCAGGCUGAUCUUUCUGCUAUCUUAACAGCAGUGGGGGUUGUCAACAGUACCUGGUAUGGACCUUCCCACUUAGGUGAAUGCCAAUGCUUUCUUUUAACACUUCUUAUUAGCACCCAGUCUCCAGGCUUCAGUGGCUGAGUCUCCUGUUGAGAAUCAGCGGGAUGAUUGUCAGUAUACUGGUUUUUGUUUUUCUAAUAUCUUUCUCAUAUAGUCUGCAAGUGUGCUGUCGUCAUCUGUUUCCCAUUGGUUCUUAAACUGGGCCAGCCUGUAUGUUCUGCCAAAUAAGGUCUCAUAAGGAGUCAAUCCACUAGUGCUUGUUAUAUUGAUGUAAAGUUCUACGAGAUCAAGACACUGUGUCCAUGGUCUGUUUCUUUCUUCCAUACAUUUUUUUAGUCUAUUUUUUAAAGUUCCAUUCAUUCGUUCUACUAAGCCUGCACUUUGAGGGUGAUAUGCACAAUGAUGUUUAAGGUUUAUGGAACAUUUGUCCUAUUUUUUUAAGGAUUUGGUUCGCAAAAUGAGUGCCAUUGUCGCUACGAAUUAUUUCUGGGAUACCAUACUGAGGUAUGAUGUCUUUACAAAGUGCUUUAGCGACUGUCAAUGCAUCUGGUGUUUUAGUCGGGAAAAGCUCUACCCAUUUGGAAAAUGCAUCUGUUAUCACAAGACAGUAUCUUUUUCCUUCACUUGGGCUCAGUUCGAUAAAGUCCAUGUGUAUGACCUGGAAGGGAUAUUUUGGUUCAGGGAAACAACGUGUUUUCAUUCUGAGAUUUCCCUGAGGAUUGUGUUUGGCGCAUGUUAAACCUGCUCUGCAAAAAAUUUUUGAAUAAGAGUUAAAUCCAUAAGUAGGAAAAUGUUGUUGUAUCUGUCCUACCAUCCUUCCUGUUGAGACAUGUGUGGGACCAUCGCUCAAUAUUGCUCCCCAUUUAAAAAGAUUCUUUGGAAGGAUAGGUUUCCCUUCAGGUCAUAUAUAGAUGCCAUUUUGCAAAUGUGCGUCUUGUUUAGCCCAGAGUUCAAUUUCAGUUUUUGGGCUCUGUUGUUGCAUUGUUUUAAGAACGUCACCAGAAAGUGCGUCAGUAUACUCCAAGGUGCAGACUGAGAUCUCUCCCUCAGCUGGAGCCUUGGCUGUUUUAUCUGCAAAUGCGUUUACCAGCGAGACGGGGUCUGUUCCGGAAGUGUGGGCGGCACAUUUGCAAAUAGCUAACCUUUGUGGCAGAUGUACAGCAGCAUUUACUCUAGGUCAGGAAGUUGCAUUGUUCACGAUUUUGUCAUAGAGCUAUGGAAGCAGAAAGAGGGUUGGUGGCUCUCUCAUUUCUUUAAAAAAAAGACCUUUUCAACUGCUGAAAUGGCGUUGCCACUUUUGGAUGUCAUGUGGUAUGUGGUAUUUCCACAAAUAUGUAUUUUAAUUAUAAAUUUCAUAGUGACCUUUUAUGGGAAGCUAGUGGGCUUUGUUUAUUUGGCUAAUCCUGUAUCAAUAAGAUUUGACUGAACUUGAAAAUGUCAUGCAGUGCGACCAAUUAUCAUGUGGUGCGACCACUGCAGAUUGUUUUCCAUCAUAAAUAUAUGCCCUAGAUUGGCAGUAUUUACGCUUUUUAUAUUCAAUUGAUGAAUGAUAAACACAAAGAACUUAAUUUUUAGUAUUAUUUUGAAUUUUUUUUGUUAUUUGAUGUCAUUUUGCUAAUAUUUCAGAAAUAAUGGUUAGUUCAUCUUUGUACAAAAUAAGAAAAAAACUAUGCCAUUUCACUUACGGUAUUUAUGCCGUUGUUAGCAAUUUAUUUACUUUCAUGUAUCUAUUUAAGUCAUUUUAAUUAAGUUUACCAGAUGCCACUGUCGAGCUAAGUUAAAAGUGCUCGCAAUAGGCAGCGUGUCAACUCUGACCCUGAAGCAUGUUGUUCAUGCAAGGACUGGUCAACGAUUGGGCCAAGAUUGGGCAAAGUUUAAAAACGCCUGAGGCCUGUACUACAAAGCUGGAUUUGAUCGUAGCGAGAUAACUUCUUGAAUAAUUCCUGGGUUUACCGCACGAUGAAGGUGGAUUUCUUUCUAUCCAGGUCUGUUGCCCCAGUAACUUACGCGGAACAUCAAACCUGCUCCGGAGAAGGUUAUGUUUCAGGAUAAGAUCUCAGCAGGUAUAAAAGACCGCCCACUGACCAAUCAGAUCUCUUAGAAAAUGGCUUGCCCACUUUUGCCGGAUCCCGGGGACAUCGUUGCACGGAUAGUGAGAGGAGCGCUUCGCCGAGAACGAUAUAUUCAAGAUCGUUCAAAUCUGUUUGAUUUACCUGAUGACGUUCUCUAUGAAUGUUACAGGUUUUCCUCGGACGGCCUCAAUAGGUAGCAUGAAGUCUAAGCAAUGCACUAACAUUUGCCAAGCUCCAAGUUCCAAUUUCAUGCAGCAUAUCAGUCAUACUUCAUAUUAAUCUCGUUUCAUAUUUUCUAUAUUUUUAUCUAUCUUUUUUCCAAUGUCUUGCACUGAUAUGGGUGGCUUUAAUUUCAUUGUACUGCUUAUAAUGACAAUAAAAGGCAUUCUGAUUCUGAUCAUUCAGAAUUUAUUGAAGCAGAUUAGAAAACUCCUCUUAACCCCAAAUGUGUCUACAGAUGACAUGUGACCAUUCGAUGAUGGAGAAAAAAGAAAAAAAGGCAGUGUGAGGAAAUCACUGUUUACGUGUUGAAAUGUGUACAAAUUAAAUCUUCCAGUAAACCAGCUAACCACUUUGACGGAUGUUUUUAGAUUUAUUUUUAUUUGCUCCCACGUACUCUUUUCCCCACUACUGUUGUAUCUGAAAUAAUGAGGUCAACAGGAGGUUAUCACACACGCUGCAUGACAACAUAUAAGGGGGCCAUAAAUUUAUGAACAUACAAAUGUAAUUGACACAAUCGAUGAUUUUUUUGCCAGCAGUCCCUGCGGCUUUUAGCAGCUGCGGCUGUCCUGCUCCUCACUGUUAUAGUGUUGCAGUACUCCUCGUAUUUGUGUAAAAUAAUGCUCUGUUCCUCGGCUGUGAAAUAUGACGUGCAGCCUUCUCCAUUGUUGAGAGUGGUCCGGUGGCACUGACCCCGCCCCCUUUACGUGUGCGCGCACAGAUCUAGACUGACCAUAACUGAAUUUAGUUAGCUAGUUGAUAUCCUGCCUCGUAGUACAGCAGAUCGGGAUUACGGAGAUCUGGUGAAAUUGAUCGAGUUGUCGCAGAGUUAUCCUGGUUGCGUUAAUCCAGCUUCGUAGUGCAGGCCUCUGGACCACGGACACAAACACACACAGAGUUAAUUUUAUGUCAAAAAGGGAAAUAAAAUGUUUGUGUUCAUGUUCGAAAUGUUAAUAAAAUUUGGUUUGAAUAUAAAAUUUGCAUGAAAUUAAUUGUUCAUAGGUCUCUUUAAAUUGAUUUUUAAUGAUACAAGGUCUUCAAGUCAUUUGGCGCGACCACCAAUCAUGUGGUGCAACCAAUAAUAACAUUUCUACUAGGCCUGCACGAUAUAUCAUUUCAGCAUCGUCAUCGCGAUGUACGUGUGUGCGAUAGUCACAUUGCAGAGCCUGCGAUGUCGGAGGUGAAUGAACUCAGUUAAUUUCCAUGGUAGCCGACUGAGACACACUGCAUGUGACUCUGCAUGUGCUGUGCAGCGAUCCACCAUUCACCUUCUUUCUUUACUCAGUUGCCAAUCAGACUCAGUUCUCAGUUGCCAAUCAGACUAACCUGCCAGCUGUCAAUCAAAAUCAGAGAGGAGGAAACCCACCCCUGCACAUGUUCUGCACAUGGAGUGAGACGCCUGUCCGCUGAGAAUUACUUUCAGAACAUUCUUCAUCACUGUUUAGCCCAACAAAUAAGUAUGGGUUUUAAAUUGUACAUUUCCGUGGACCACUCUACUAUAAGCAGUGCGCGUUUUGUGAGGUGCAUGCAAUUCUCGGAGGACAUGGGUUUCUCGGCACAACCCCGUUGACAACAAAAACAACGAUCGCAAACUGAGCAACAAACAGAGAAAACCACAGAAGAUGAAGAUUUGUUGCCAAAAAGAAAAGGAAAGUCAGUUAUCUUGAAUUAUUUCGGUUACAAGAUGGAUAAUGUCGACCAAAACACGUUCUGUGUUCAUCUGUUGCCACAAUAACGUCUGGCGGAGCCUGGUGUACAGCCAGUUUGGUAUUUUCGUGGACUGAGGCGCACCAAGGUCCGCCAAGCUGGGCGUGGUGGCGUGGCACGGGGAGGUGUCGACAGAAUCAGCUGGCGCUAGUGGUGCAACGGAUCAUCAUUGAUCCGUGAUCCGUUCGGAUCGACGUCAUCGGUUCGGCACACACGUUACCCGCGGUUCGAUUUCUGAAAAAAAAAUUGGCUUCCCUGUCAACUAUGAUGAGGAAGGAAAGAGGUCAGUGGACAAAACUGCGAAGGUGUGUAGGCACUGUGGCAUAAGAAAGCCAUAUGACAGUGGAAACACAUCGAGCAUGUUCACGCAUUUGAAAGCGACAUCACCCGGGUGUUUUAAUGACAGGUGUUGUGCCGUAGACUGCACCCCUGCCGUAGAACGCACCCCUGCAGUAGAACGCACCCCUGCAUCCCCUCCACUCGUUAGCUUCUUAAAGUGGAGAUAAUGAUCUCAUAUUUAAAGAAACACGAGUAUUAGAUCAUGACAACAUGUCAAAUGGAGCAGCAAACUUUCAUUUUCUUUUUAUGUGUCUCAAAAAUGCAAAUAUAGAGGUGUACUUGGGUAUAAACUGUACAGAAAGCUGUCCAGGUAGAGAGCAUUAUAUUUUCGGGACAGCAAUAUUCCAAGGGCUGUUGUUUUUGGCUUCUUUGAAUAGCCUGAAUGAAAUUAUUACAGGCAAACGCUUUUGAAUCCAUCCAAUGUAAGAAAAACUUGGAUUAUUUCGCCUCGUUAUGUACUUUAAACCGCGCUCCCGUCAGGGGGUGCAUUCUACGGCAGGGGUGCAUUCUAUGUCACAACACCUGAGAUAAAACGAAAGCUGGCCAGCAACCACUCAUCACCGCAGCAUUUAAGCAGCCUCUUCCUGCGGAAUCCGACCGGGUUAAAGCUAUCACAAACGCUAUCGGUGUGUUUAUAGCUACAGACAUGAGGCCAUAUUCAGUUGUGCAAACGAGGGCUUUAAAAACAUGCUGAAAGUGCUUGAGCCACGUUACAAUAUCCCACCGCGCACAUACUUCAUUUUUGGUUCAUUGUUACAUUUUAAAGGAAGGAGAUAUGCCUAUAUAUUGCACUUUAAGUUGUUUUUCAUUAAUAAUUAUGUUGAAAAGAAGAUAUUAUGCCGUAUGCACUACUUUUAUAUAUUUUAAUUCAACCAUUUAAGUGUUUAAUAUACAGACAAAACUUAUGUUUAUUUGUCUUGUUUUUUUUUUUGUUUUGUUUUUUUGCUUUUU